rnacentral:rRNA from 1 species
GACGAACGCUGGCGGCGUGCCUAAUACAUGCAAGUCGAGCGGACUUCAUCCUUCGGGGCGAGGUUAGCGGCGGACGGGUGAGUAACACGUAGGCAACCUGCCCUCGAGACUGGGAUAACCUCCGGAAACGGAUGCUAAUACCAGAUACGCGGUCUUCCCUCCUGGGGAGAUCGGGAAAGACGGAGCAAUCUGUUGCUCGGGGAUGGGCCUGCGGCGCAUUAGCUAGUUGGUGAGGUAACGGCUCGCCAAGGCGACGAUGCGUAGCCGACCUGAGGGGGUGAUCGGCCACACUGGGACUGAGACACGGCCCAGACUCCUACGGGAGGCAGCAGUAGGGAAUCUUCCGCAAUGGACGAAAGUCUGACGGAGCAACGCCGCGUGAGUGAGGAAGGCCUUCGGGUCGUAAAGCUCUGUUGCCAGGGAAGAACGCUUGGGAGAGUAACUGCUCCCAAGGUGACGGUACCUGAGAAGA